rnacentral:rRNA from 1 species
GACAGAGGGUGCAAACGUUGUUCGGAAUUACUGGGCGUAAAGCGUGUGUAGGCGGCCACGUAAGUCGGAUGUGAAAGCCCUGGGCUCAACCCAGGAAGUGCACUCGAUACUGCGUGGCUCGAGUACUGGAGAGGUUGGUGGAAUUCUCGGUGUAGAGGUGAAAUUCGUAGAUAUCGAGAGGAACACCGGUGGCGAAGGCGGCCAACUGGACAGAUGACUGACGCUGAGACACGAAAGCGUGGGGAGCAAACAGG